rnacentral:misc_RNA from 1 species
UCCGGUUUGGCACCGGCAGUCGCCCUAGAGUGCCCGGCAUGACCCGCUGGUAACUAGGGCCGAGGGUUGCGCUCGUUGCGGGACUUAACCCAACAUCUCACGACACGAGCUGACGACAGCCAUGCAGCACCUGUGCACGGGCUCCGAAGAGGGCCCGGUGUUUCCACCGGGUUUCCCGUGCAUGUCAAGCCCAGGUAAGGUUCUUCGCGUUGCGUCGAAUUAAACCACAUGCUCCACCGCUUGUGCGGGCCCCCGUCAAUUCCUUUGAGUUUCAGCCUUGCGGCCGUACUCCCCAGGCGGGGCACUUAAUGCGUUAGCGCCGGCACCCGGGGGGUCGCUCCCCCAGGCACCUAGUGCCCAUCGUUUACGGCGUGGACUAC